UGCAUAGGAAUCUGCCCGGUAGUGGGGGAUAACCUGGGGAAACCCAGGCUAAUACCGCAUACGUCCUACGGGAGAAAGGGGGCUCCGGCUCCCGCUAUUGGAUGAGCCUAUGUCGGAUUAGCUAGUUGGUGAGGUAAUGGCUCACCAAGGCAACGAUCCGUAGCUGGUCUGAGAGGAUGAUCAGCCACAUCGGGACUGAGACACGGCCCGAACUCCUACGGGAGGCAGCAGUGGGGAAUAUUGGACAAUGGGGGCAACCCUGAUCCAGCCAUGCCGCGUGUGUGAAGAAGGCCCUCGGGUUGUAAAGCACUUUCAGCGAGGAAGAACGCCUAGUGGUUAAUACCCAUUAGGAAAGACAUCACUCGCAGAAGAAGCACCGGCUAACUCCGUGCCAGCAGCCGCGGUAAUACGGAGGGUGCAAGCGUUAAUCGGAAUUACUGGGCGUAAAGCGCGCGUAGGUGGCUUGAUAAGCCGGUUGUGAAAGCCCCGGGCUCAACCUGGGAACGGCAUCCGGAACUGUCAGGCUAGAGUGCAGGAGAGGAAGGUAGAAUUCCCGGUGUAGCGGUGAAAUGCGUAGAGAUCGGGAGGAAUACCAGUGGCGAAGGCGGCCUUCUGGACUGACACUGACACUGAGGUGCG
rnacentral:rRNA from 1 species